rnacentral:rRNA from 1 species
UUGGAGGGCAAGUCUGGUGCCAGCAGCCGCGGUAAUACCAGCUCCAAUAGCGUAUAUUAAAGUUGUUGCAGUUAAAAAGCUCGUAGUUGAAUUUCGGGGUUAGUAGGUUGGUCAUGCCUCUGGUAUGUACUGGUCUCACUGAUUCCUCCUUCCUGAUGAACCUUAAUGCCAUUAAUUUAGUGUUUUGGGGAAUUUGGACUGUUACUUUGAAAAAAUUAGAGUGUUUAAAGCAAGCUAACGCUUGAAUACAUUAGCAUGGAAUAAUGAAAUAGGACGUUCGAUCCUAUUUUGUUGGUUUCUAGGAUUGACGUAAUGAUUAAUAGGGAUAGUUGGGGGCAUUAGUAUUCAAUUGUCAGAGGUGAAAUUCUUGGAUUUAUUGAAGACUAACUACUGCGAAAGCAUUUGCCAAGGAUGUUUUCAUUAAUCAAGAACGAAAGUUAGGGGAUCGAAGACGAUCAGAUACCGUCGUAGUCUUAACCAUAAACUAUGCCGACUAGGGAUCGGAUGAUGUUAAUUUUUUAAUGACUCAUUCGGCGCCUUACGGGAAAC